AACGAACGCUGGCGGCAUGCCUAACACAUGCAAGUCGAACGGGAUCCGGACUUCGGUUCGGUGAGAGUGGCGGACGGGUGAGUAACACGUGGGAACCUGCCUUUUGGUUCGGGAUAACCGCGGGAAACUGCGGCUAAUACCGGAUGCUCCCGCGAGGGGAAAGAUUUAUCGCCAGAAGAGGGGCCCGCGUCCGAUUAGGUAGUUGGUGGGGUAAAGGCCUACCAAGCCGACGAUCGGUAGCUGGUCUGAGAGGAUGAUCAGCCACACUGGGACUGAGAUACGGCCCAGACUCCUACGGGAGGCAGCAGUGGGGAAUAUUGGACAAUGGGGGCAACCCUGAUCCAGCAAUGCCGCGUGAGUGAUGAAGGCCUUAGGGUUGUAAAGCUCUUUUGCCAGGGAAGAUGAUGACUGUACCUGGAGAAUAAGCCCCGGCUAACUUCGUGCCAGCAGCCGCAGUAAAAC
rnacentral:rRNA from 1 species